UGCAUGCGCGGUGCGAGCAGGGCGCGCCUGUGCCGGGGAGCGUGGAGGAGGCGGAGGAGGAAGAAAGGUCUUGUGACAUGUCAAUCAUCAGGUGGCAUUUUGAAUGGAAAAACAAAGCAAAUCCAUUGUCUGAUGAACAUGCAAGGAUGAUUUCACAGAAGUACUGUCAGAACAAGACAGAUGUGAAGUUUAGACUUUGAAACCUGUAGUUUCAUCAGUGUUCUCAAAAGGCCCUACAUGAAGACAUCCCCCUCAGUCACAGCAGAGCCUUCCUUCCCUUUCAUGCUAGCAGCCGCAGUGGAUGCUGCCUGAGCGUCCAGCGCAAGUCCAGCCACUUUCACGGGAUCCUCACUUGCAUGCACACUCAGCCCAUGUCUCUCCUCGAUCACGACAGUCUCCUGAACGACCUUCUUCACUGUCUCGUGCUGUGGCUGAGCUGCUGGCUUCGUUUCACUGGAACCUAUCUCCUGAGAUGUCUUUGUCUCUGUUCUCUGGAGGGAGAGAGGGAGAGAGAGAGAGAGAGAAAUAAAUCUCAAUUUCCAAAGUGGUUAUCCCUGCUUACUACAGUUCCUUAUCUUAAUGUACUGUAAAUGAAAAUAAAAACAGGGUAUUAAACUUUGCCAAUUUAUUUCUCUCAUGCUGUAUGGAUUUCCACUCUAAGGACAUUAUCACAAUAGUAGAAAAGAAAAGUAAAGCAAGAAUUACAAUUUUUAGAAGUGAAGAGAAAUGCCACAAUGGUUUUCUUACUGGUAUUACUGUGCUGUUUUUCUAAAGGCAAAAUACAACACCCUGUAUAG